GGGUUGUGAGGUUAAGCGACUAAGCGUACACGGUGGAUGCCUAGGCAGUCAGAGGCGAUGAAGGGCGUGCUAAUCUGCGAUAAGCGUCGGUAAGCUGAUAUGAAGCGUUAUACCCGACGAUACCCGAAUGGGGAAACCCAGUGUGUUUCGACACACUAUCAUGACAUGAAUACAUAGUGUCAUGAGGCGAACCGGGGGAACUGAAACAUCUCAGUACCCCGAGGAAAAGAAAUCAACCGAGAUUCCCCCAGUAGCGGCGAGCGAACGGGGAGGAGCCCAGAACCUGAAUCAGUUUGUGUGUUAGUGGAAGCGUCUGGAAAGUCGCACAGUAAAGGGUGAUAGUCCCGUACACAAAAAUGCACAAGUUGUGAGUUCGAUGAGUAGGGCGGGACACGUGACAUCCUGUCUGAAUAUGGGGGGACCAUCCUCCAAGGCUAAAUACUCCUGACUGACCGAUAGUGAACCAGUACCGUGAGGGAAAGGCGAAAAGAACCCCGGCGAGGGGAGUGAAAUAGAACCUGAAACCGUGUACGUACAAGCAGUGGGAGCCUACUAGUUAGGUGACUGCGUACCUUUUGUAUAAUGGGUCAGCGACUUAUAUUCUGUAGCAAGGUUAACCGUAUAGGGGAGCCGCAGGGAAACCGAGUCUUAACUGGGCGUUAAGUUGCAGGGUAUAGACCCGAAACCCGGUGAUCUAGCCAUGGGCAGGUUGAAGGUUGGGUAACACUAACUGGAGGACCGAACCGACUAAUGUUGAAAAAUUAGCGGAUGACUUGUGGCUGGGGGUGAAAGGCCAAUCAAACCGGGAGAUAGCUGGUUCUCCCCGAAAGCUAUUUAGGUAGCGCCUCGUGAAUUCAUCUUCGGGGGUAGAGCACUGUUUCGGCUAGGGGGUCAUCCCGACUUACCAACCCGAUGCAAACUACGAAUACCGAAGAAUGUUAUCACGGGAGACACACGGCGGGUGCUAACGUUCGUCGUGAAGAGGGAAACAACCCAGACCGCCAGCUAAGGUCCCAAAGUCAUGGUUAAGUGGGAAACGAUGUGGGAAGGCAUAGACAGCCAGGAUGUUGGCUUAGAAGCAGCCAUCAUUUAAAGAAAGCGUAAUAGCUCACUGGUCGAGUCGGCCUGCGCGGAAGAUGUAACGGGGCUAAACCAUGCACCGAAGCUGCGGCAGCGACACUUAGUGUUGUUGGGUAGGGGAGCGUUCUGUAAGCCUGCGAAGGUGGCCUGUGAGGGCUGCUGGAGGUAUCAGAAGUGCGAAUGCUGACAUAAGUAACGAUAAUGCGGGUGAAAAACCCGCACGCCGGAAGACCAAGGGUUCCUGUCCAACGUUAAUCGGGGCAGGGUGAGUCGACCCCUAAGGCGAGGCUGAAAAGCGUAGUCGAUGGGAAACAGGUUAAUAUUCCUGUACUCGGUGUUACUGCGAAGGGGGGACGGAGAAAGCUAGGUUAUCCGGGCGACGGUUGUCCCGGUUUAAGCGUGAAGGUGGAUGACUUUGGUAAAUCCGGGUCAUC
rnacentral:rRNA from 2 species